GGUGUAGGUAGUGGACUUAGAUGGUGUAGGUAGUGGACAGAUGGUGUAGGUAGUGGACUUAGAUGGUGUAGGUAGUGGACUUAGAUGGUGUAGGUAGUGGACAGAUGGUGUAGGUAGUGGACUUAGAUGGUGUAGGUAGUGGACAGAUGGUGUAGGUAGUGGACUUAGAUGACUGGUACGCUUUUAUUGACUGGUGCAGUUGGCAAACAUUUUUAGGCCAGUGGGUCAUCCGAAAAUAUUUUUUUUUGCCCAGAAAGAUCCUUAUGUGGCUAGUAUAGAAAUAGUCCGGUGUGCUAGAAAAUGCCAGGGCUGAUUUCUGGCCCCAGUCCGCCCCUGGUCAAUCAGGUUUCAGGAUGCUGCUAGGCUGACUGGCCUGACAUCCUAUCGGGUGUUCUCUAAUUGAGCCUGUCACUAAUCUGUCUUGUACCCGAUCUCCUUGACUCCCAUCAGGUCUUAAACAUUAUACUAAUUAACUACCAUCCCCAGGUAGAUAGUUUAAAACAACAGGAUACCUGCCUAUCAGCUCCGAAACCACUACCUACACCAUCUGUCCACU
ensembl:lncRNA